CCUACGGGAGGCAGCAGUGGGGAAUAUUGGACAAUGGGGGAAACCCUGAUCCAGCAAUGCCGCGUGGGUGAUGAAGGCCUUCGGGUUGUAAAGCCCUUUUGGCGGGGACGAUGAUGACGGUACCCGCAGAAUAAGCCCCGGCUAACUUCGUGCCAGCAGCCGCGGUAAUACGAAGGGGGCUAGCGUUGUUCGGAAUUACUGGGCGUAAAGGGCGCGUAGGCGGCUCUGUGCGUCGUGCGUGAAAGGCCUGGGCUCAACCCGGGAACGGCGCUCGAUACGACGGAGCUAGAGUGCAGGAGAGGAUGGUGGAAUUCCCAGUGUAGAGGUGAAAUUCGUAGAUAUUGGGAAGAACACCGGUGGCGAAGGCGGCCAUCUGGACUGCAACUGACGCUGAGGCGCGAAAGCGUGGGGAGCAAACAGGAUUAGAUACCCUGGUAGUCCACGCUGUAAACGAUGUGCGCUAGACGCUGGCGGACCUAGUUCGCCGGUGUCGCAGCUAACGCAUUAAGCGCACCGCCUGGGGAGUACGGCCGCAAGGUUAAAACUCAAAUGAAUUGACGG
rnacentral:rRNA from 1 species